rnacentral:sRNA from 1 species
CUGUUUGGGUAAUAGGUACUGUAGCUGAUAUUCUUG